rnacentral:misc_RNA from 1 species
AAGUCGUAACAGGGUCUCCGUUGGUGAACCAGCGGAGGGAUCAUUACCGAGUUUACAACUCCCAAACCCUGUGAACAUACCUUAAUGUUGCCUCGGCGGAUCAGCCCGCGCCCCGUAAAACGGGACGGCCCGCCAGAGGACCCAAACUCUAAUGUUUCUUAUUGUAACUUCUGAGUAAAACAAACAAAUAAAUCAAA